rnacentral:rRNA from 1 species
GACGAACGCUGGUGGCGUGCUUAACACAUGCAAGUCGAACGGAAAGGCCCUGCUUUUGUGGGGUGCUCGAGUGGCGAACGGGUGAGUAACACGUGAGUAACCUGCCCUUGACUUUGGGAUAACUUCAGGAAACUGGGGCUAAUACCGGAUAGGAGCUCCUGCUGCAUGGUGGGGGUUGGAAAGUUUCGGCGGUUGGGGAUGGACUCGCGGCUUAUCAGCUUGUUGGUGGGGUAGUGGCUUACCAAGGCUUUGACGGGUAGCCGGCCUGAGAGGGUGACCGGCCACAUUGGGACUGAGAUACGGCCCAGACUGCUACGGGAGGCAGCAGUGGGGAAUAUUGCACAAUGGGCGGAAGCCUGAUGCAGCAACGCCGCGUGCGGGAUGACGGCCUUCGGGUUGUAAACCGCUUUCGCCUGUGACGAAGCGUGAGUGACGGUAAUGGGUAAAGAAGCACCGGCUAACUACGUG